GCAAGUCGAGCGCGCCCUUCGGGGUGAGCGGCGGACGGGUGAGUAAUGCUUGGGAAUCUGCCCGGUAGUGGGGGAUAACGUGUGGAAACGCACGCUAAUACCGCAUACGUCCUACGGGAGAAAGCAGGGGAUCUUCGGACCUUGCGCUAUCGGAUGAGCCCAAGUCGGAUUAGCUAGUUGGUGGGGUAAAGGCUCACCAAGGCGACGAUCCGUAGCUGGUCUGAGAGGAUGAUC
rnacentral:rRNA from 1 species